rnacentral:rRNA from 1 species
UUAAACGUGAGAGUUCGAUCCUGGCUCAGGAUGAACGCUGGCGGCGUGCCUAACACAUGCAAGUCGAACGGAGAUUUGACGCUGCAGAGACUUCGGUCAAAGCUUGUUAAAUCUUAGUGGCGGACGGGUGAGUAACGCGUGGGCAACCUGCCUCGUACUGGGGGAUAACAGUUGGAAACGACUGUUAAUACCGCAUAAGCGCACGGUAUCGCAUGAUACAGUGUGAAAAACUCCGGUGGUACGAGAUGGGCCCGCGUCAGAUUAGCCAGUUGGCGGGGUAACGGCCCAC